UACGUAGGGUGCGAGCGUUGCCCGGAUUUAUUGGGCGUAAAGGGCGCGUAGGCGGCUCGACACGUCCGUUGUGAAAUCGCCCGGCUCAACUGGGCGGGGUCAGCGGAUACGGUCGAGCUUGAGCAAGCUAGGGGGCAAUGGAAUUCCCGGUGUAGUGGUGGAAUGCGUAGAUAUCGGGGAGGAACACCAGAGGCGAAGGCGGCGACCUGGACAGGUACUGACACUAAAACUACGAAAAGCGUGGGGGAGCAAACAGG
rnacentral:rRNA from 1 species